ACAUGGAAAUAUAGAACAUUGCAUGAAAUAUGGAUAUAAAGAACAUGGAAUGAAACGUGGAAAUAUAUAACAUGAAAUUAAUCAUGGAAAUAUAGAACACGGAAUGAAAUAUGGAAAUUAAGAUCAUGGAAUAAAACAUAAUAAUAAAGAACAUGGUAUGAAACAUGGAAAUAUAGAACAGGGAAUGAAAUAUGGCAACCAAAGAAAAGAACACACAAUAGAACAUAGACUAAUGGGUAACAUGGAAUGUGUCGAAUAAAAUUUGUAACAAAUUAUAGAACAAGCAAAGAACAUAAUUCAUUCUGAGAACAUAAAAUACAACUUUGCCAUGGUAACAAAGUUCCUUAGCGUAUGCUAAUGCCCUUGACAGUCACCUUACACUUGACAACUUAAUGCCAAUGUUUCGGCGUGUAAUCAUUAUGGGAAUCACUAAAGCGGAUUCUAAUGGCGUCUGGCAAACGGAAAUUGUAUUGAAAAUCGCCUUAACCUCCGCCACAAGCUUGCCACAAAGUGCCUUGCAUACGAGCGAGUGCCACAAAAGUAGCCCAGACCAAUAUUCUAAGGCCGCUGAUGCCGCGCUGUUGAUUUGUCGAUUUGUGCGAUGCCAAAAGCAGAUUUCAUAGAUCGCCAAAUACAAGUAAUAAUCGCACACAUACAGAAAACAGAAUUGUUUUGACUAAUUGUCUCUCUAUCUGUAUCUAUGAAGUUGAAGUCGUGCGCGAGCGAUGAUUGAAUGUGAACAGAGAUAUAUCUGUGAGGCUGAGGCUGAGGAAGCCUUGAAGCAUUUUUGCAGAAAACUCUAUCGUCAAAUUCAAUUAAACUUAAAUACUUGUCGAAUCAAUUUGCCUCAUAACUUUUUCAUAUGUAUACACAUUUUCAAAACACACUUACCCCCCGGUAUAUUUGUUUUGCAUUGAGCCCGGUUUAUUUAUCUGCGAUCGAAAACAACCGAAAUUCAAAGUUGAACGCCGAUCAUCAUCAAUAUAUUUUAUUUCUCGCAUUGUUUGCGGCUAUUGUGUGAGCGUACUGCGGCUAAUUGCUUCCUUGAAAGUUGAAGUGAGGGAGACGGAAAUCGGAAGUGCAACUCUCUUUAGUUGUCCCUUGGCUUUGGGCAUAAACGUUGGCAAUUUGGAGACGUGACAGCCGAAAGCAAAGCUCGACACAUUCGCGCACGCGCACCGCGAAAAUUUACGAGACUGUGGCAAAUGGGCGACAAAUUAUGCCAAAUGAAAAGAGGCGUGACCACAUUGGCAUUUAUGCUCAUUUGGCUUGCCUUGGAAAUGCUCUGAGCAGCGUUAAAUUCACUGAAAACGGUAGUCGAAACACCUAGAGACCGACAGACCGACAGAGCGGGAGAUCUACGAGCUCCGAGAAGUCUGGAUGGAUGGAGAGAGAACUCUGGAGCUUCCAACGCUUGCGGCUGGAUUGUUGAGUAAAUAUGUCAGUCUUGACUUGGAUAACCCUUAACUUUUUCGUCGUGGCUUUUUUGAGUAAUUGGGCGUAAACUUGGCCCAGCUACCGGGCUCUGUCUUGGUUGUCUCUCGUGUCCAACACUUGGCAACAACCUGGGGCAUAUGAUUAAUUUGGCUUGUCGAAACUGAUGCAAAUUUUCAGCGUUUUGGCUUGCGGCAUAGUAAACCCGGAGCUAUUUGCUUUACGGUUCAGUUUCAUUCAUGGAUAGACGGAUGAAUGUAGAUGUAGUGUUAUGUAAACACUCGAUUCAAAUUCGCACAGUAUAUUUUGUCUUUCAUUGUCUCUUAUUUUUUUUUUUUUGUUGUGCUGUGUGUAAAUGCAAAAUCAAAAUUUAUGCAAAUUUCAAAUAACAAACAGAACAGAACCCAGUGAAAAAUAUAUCUUUAAAUAUAUUUACAGUUAAAGGCGGCAGCAUCAUCGUUGUUUAUUUUUCGUUUUUUUUUUCGUCUUGUUCGUUUUGUAUUUAAUUUUUUGCAUUGGGUUGGGAAAGUGCCCCAAAGCCGAGCACGAAGUUCACUGAACCUCUCGCGUUCAUAUCGAAAGAUGUUUAGUGGCAACUGGUGGCAACAACAACUGGUGGCAAUAGCAGCUGUUGGUGGUGUUGGUGGUGGCAUUCAUUAAGGAAACAUAAUUCUAAUUUUAAUUCUAAUGCCACCGUUGUCGGACCGUUUGACGGGAGUGUCUUUUACUUUUAAUUAUAUUUCAGUUUCAGUUGCUGAGAACAGCAACAACAACAACAACCAAAAAAAGUGAACUCAAAGCCGCAGUUCAACUGUUACGUCUUUAAAUGAUGCCCGGGGUCGCAACUCAGACCUUAAGGUUUUGCUCUUAACUUAUUACGUUCGUUGCGGUCAAAGUCGUCGUCUUCUUUUUUUUUAUCUAAUCAUCUGCAUGCGAUCGUCAGCCCAAAAUACGCAACGUCCAGCUAUAAAUGUUAUGAAUAAGCGGAGCUUAAUUUGGAGAGCUCCCUAGAAGAGAAGCGUUUAUAGUUUUAUUCAACCAUAGAACAGCAGCAUAAACUAGUGGCAGUUAAGUUGGCAAAGUGUUCUAUUCUUAUGCUAUUCCCGCAGCUUUUGUUUUUUUCUCAACUUUAUUCGAGAUUCAUUUGGCAUUUGCACGCAGAUGACGCAGCGUAUAAACUUAAUAUCAUCGGUCAGCACAUAAAUCAUUCACGACAACGGGUGACAAUAAAUUUUCCUCUCUUUUAAGAAUACUCGUAUCUGUCGGCUAGUUAAACGCACUUUUUGAAGUUCUAGUCGCUUUAAUAGUUUUGUUGAUUUUAAUUAAAAUAUAAAACGAUGACAUGCGAUGCGAUGCGGCUUAAAAUAAAUGUACAAAGCUUUUAACCAGAAUUUAUGCAAACAAUUGCUAUGGAGAGACAAGCCUAACAAAAGUCUAGUCAUCUAUUUUGAUUUGUCUGUAAGUGAUAACACAUUAUAUUUUGGUAUAUUUUGUGAGUCAUUUCUAUUAAAUUUAUAAACACACUUCGCCGAAUUUGGGGGAAAAAAACUUUCUUUUAUUCCCACUUCUUUGCUUUCGAUUGACUCUUAAAUGUUAAAUAA